rnacentral:rRNA from 1 species
AGCGAACGCUGGCGGCAGGCUUAACACAUGCAAGUCGAACGCAUCCUUCGGGGUGAGUGGCAGACGGGUGAGUAACACGUGGGAACGUACCCUUCGAUCUGGGAUAACUUCGGGAAACUGGAGCUAAUACCGGAUACGCCCUUUUGGGGAAAGGUUUACUGUCGAAGGAUCGGCCCGCGUCUGAUUAGCUAGUUGGUGGGGUAACGGCCUACCAAGGCGACGAUCAGUAGCUGGUCUGAGAGGAUGAUCAGCCACACUGGGACUGAGACACGGCCCAGACUCCUACGGGAGGCAGCAGUGGGGAAUAUUGGACAAUGGGCGCAAGCCUGAUCCAGCCAUGCCGCGUGAGUGAUGAAGGCCUUAGGGUUGUAAAUCUCUUUUGUCCGGGACGAUAAUGACGGUACCGGAAGAAUAAGCCCCGGCUAACUUCGUG